CACGUAGGGCGCAAGCGUUGUCCGGAAUUAUUGGGCGUAAAGAGCUCGUAGGUGGUUUGUUACGUCCGCUGUGAAAUCCUAGGGCUUAACCCUGGGCUUGCAGUGGAUACGGGCAGACUAGAGGUAGGUAGGGGAGAAUGGAAUUCCCGGUGUAGCGGUGAAAUGCGCAGAUAUCGGGAGGAACACCGGUGGCGAAGGCGGUUCUCUGGGCCAUACCUGACGCUGAGGAGCGAAAGCGUGGGGAGCGAACAGG
rnacentral:rRNA from 1 species